GACGAACGCUGGCGGCGUGCUUAACACAUGCAAGUCAAACGGUGAAGCGCCUUCCUUUUUGGUGGGUGUGGAUGAGUGGCGAACGGGUGAGUAACACGUGAGUAACCUGCCCCCUUCUUCUGGAUAACCGCAUGAAAGUGUGGCUAAUACGGGAUAUUCUGGGUCUGUCGCAUGAUGGGUCUGGGAAAGAUAUUGUUUCGGUGGGGGAUGGGCUCGCGGCCUAUCAGCUUGUUGGUGGGGUGAUGGCCUACCAAGGCGGUGACGGGUAGCCGGCCUGAGAGGGUGGACGGUCACACUGGGACUGAGACACGGCCCAGACUCCUACGGGAGGCAGCAGUGGGGAAUAUUGCACAAUGGGCGCAAGCCUGAUGCAGCGACGCCGCGUGAGGGAUGGAGGCCUUCGGGUUGUGAACCUCUUUCGCCAGUGAAGCAGGCCUGCCUCGUUUGUGGGUGGGUUGACGGUAGCUGGAGAAGAAGCGCCGGCUAACUACGUG
rnacentral:rRNA from 1 species